UAGACUUACAGUAUCUGUUCUUAAACAAAUUUGGUCCAAAUAGUUGUCAAAACUCAACACUGUGUGAUAUCAGACAAAAUAUGCAUUUUCAUGUACAUAAAGUUGUAAAGAUAUUAACAUACUUUUCAGACAAAGACAGUUAGCAGUGAGCAACAUUCAUAUGCUAAAUAGAAAACAAGGCAUGCAGUGCAGCUCUCCAAAAAAUUGGACUGUCCUGCUUCUAUCAUUCUGAAGGAAGUGUUGAUAUUCACCCCUGAAAAGGGUUCAUCAAGCGAGCUGGACAAAAAAAUGGCUGCUUCUAAUGUGAGGAGUGAUCUGAGUAAAGGCAUCAAGAAGAUAAUGGUGGUGUUUCCUAACAUCGAACACAAGUACCAUACAAGUGGAGAGAACGCUGGGCUGUUGCAACGUAUCGACAGUGAUGUUACCUCAAAAAUUAAAAAACUUGUGGUGGAAGAGGGCGUUGCAAAUGUUGAAGAAAUGCAAUGCCAUCUGACCUCAUUUGUUAUGAAGAAUGUAACACCUGCUCCAUCAAGAACUAAAAGGAGAUUUGCCCCUACAAAAAAGUGAUCAGAUAUCACAUGAAUAAGGCAGCAAAGAAGGGUUGUGAUAGCAAUGAUGACCAACACAACUUAGUUCAACUUGUGAGUGUGCUUAGUGUGUAAUUAACAGUUACUUCAAUACAGAUAUAUAUUUAUCACAUGCCAUACCCUGCUUCCCCAUGUAAUAUAAUCAUUACGAAUAUUUUUAUCUUACACAUGUGUAAUAUACUUUUUAAGGAUUUUCAUUGGCUUAUUUUCGUUUGAUUGACCAAUCGCAUUUUGUUAUGUUGCUGAAAUAACAUUGCAACGUCAAAUGACGUCACGAAAUGUAAACAACAUUUCGGAUUUAUCAUUAAGUUUGCGAAAAUAUUUUAAUAAUUUUUUGUGUCCGGAGCCAUAUCUUGGAAGUGCUUUGGCGGAUUUCAUUGAAACUUGGUAUGAGUAUAAAUAUGGAUAAGAGGAUGAUACAUAACAUUUGACAGAGUUGUACAUCUCAUUAGGCGAAAUUUAAGAAAUUGUGUUAUUAUAUUUUCAUAUAUUACUUUUCGGCCUAAGAUGCUAAGGUCAUACAUUGUUUUGUAAACGAAACAUGCGACAUAAUUUUCCUUUAUCAUUUACAUUUGUUGUAAAUAGUGAACAUAUUAAAAUUCUGAUGUCUGAUAUUAAUUUGCCUCUUGUGAAUAGAUUUGUACCAUUGUUUUGUUAAAUGGACCUUUUCACGUUUUGGUAA